GACGUCACCACCAAGGGGAACCCGCAGCGCGGUUUGUGCUGUCAGAAAGUUUAGCUUUUUGGACACUUAUUGUAUAACGCGACUGUGUGUGUGUGUGUGUGUGUGUGUGUGUGUGUGUGUGUGUGUGUGUGUGUGUGUGUGUGUGUGUGUGUGUGUGUGUGUGUGUGU